AACUCUGACAAUAUUAUCACUAAAGGCAAAUAACUUCUAUUCAUCCCUCAAGAAUGAGCAGGUGCAGUGUCAUUCAGAACCCCUUCUCCUAAUCAUGGCUACCCAAGUGGAACAGCGCUUCUCCUGUGUCCCCAAAACACCUCAUAUCUGCUGUGUCACAGCCUUGCCUGACGUGGUUGCAGUCACGCCUGUUUCUCAGGCUUCCCCCUGUGUAGGCCCCUAGAGAGUAGAAGCGGCAUUUUAUUCUUCCUCGUAUCCCAGGACCCAACUGCAGGCCUAGUACAAAAUAGUUGUUGAAUAAAAGUGAUCCUCAAUAAACAUUUGUUGAUUAGAUACUUGAAUGAAAUGGUAAUGAAUCAAACUGGAUGCUAUUGAGAAAAUUGGGGUUAUCCAAAAAGACGGGCUAGAAACCUAGAAAAUCCUAGGUUCCAAAAGGCCAUAAAAAGUCAUGGAUGUAGCUGUGUGUUCUCACUCAACCUACUCUCCCUACCCCUCGACCGUACCCCUGCACAAACAAAUACUAAAUGUAGAGGUCAGUGUCUCCUGUCACAUUGAUUUAGAAAAUCCUGAUUUUUAAAUGUUUCAUUUUGUUUGGAUUUGAUUUGUCUUUCUCGUAGGAUUUCUCGGCCUGAGUGUCAGCUGAAUGCGGAAUUUCUCAAAGACGUUGGUCCUAGAUGCCAUUCUGUUGGAGAAAGAGCCCUGAAAGAAGCAUGGUCUCCUGAAGGGCCACACAUGUGUGUGGAUGAGCAAGGCAGCAAGACAAAGGUUCCAUCAGGCACAGAGUCUUAAUGGGGUGCAUGACUCCCUGCUCACAAGGAACAGAGUCUUUGGAGGAAGCAGGGUCACAGACAGGUGACGAGGCCUUUUCCAUUCCAAGCUCAGUGAUCCAAACUUGGAGAGCUGUCUCUGCUCCAGUGAUACAGCCCUUCAGAGGCCAGGUAUUUGGAGCUGAGAAGCAAUUUACUUGAAGCCACAUAAUAAUUAAGUGGGUGAACUGAACUUUAACACCAAUUAGAUAAGACACAAAAGCUCUUGCCCUUUAAAAAGAGAAUUUUUUUUUCAAGAGCCAAUGUCCUUGAGUCUCUGUCCCUUUCCCACUCCAAAUAAUCUAUAAGAUAAACAAAAUAAAAAAUGAAUUUUUUUAAAAAAAGACUAGUGG
rnacentral:lncRNA from 13 species